UCAUGAAAGUGAAGCGUUUAGUGCGGA
rnacentral:sRNA from 1 species